UGUAUCCUGCUAGAUGUGUGGUAGUGGUACCGGCCAGGGGACGUCUGAGGGCUCAUUAGGACCAGCCCUGUAUCCUGCUAGAUGUGUGGUAGGUGUACCGGCCAGGGGACGUCUGAGGGCUCAUUAGGACCAGCCCUGUAUCCUGCUAGAUGUGUGGUACUGGCCAGGGGACGUCUGAGGGCUCAUUAGGACCAGCCCUGUAUCCUGCUAGAUGUGGGGUAGUGGUACCGGCCAGGGGACGUCUGAGGGCUCAUUAGGACCAGCCCUGUAUCCUGCUAGAUGUGUGGUAGGUGUACCGGCCAGGGGACGUCUGAGGGCUCAUUAGGACCAGCCCUGUAUCCUGCUAGAUGUGUGGUAGGUGUACCGGCCAGGGACGUCUGAGGGCUCAUUAGGACCAGCCCUGUAUCCUGCUAGAUGUGUGGUAGUGGUACUGGCCAGGGGACGUCUGAGGGCUCAUUAGGACCAGCCCUGUAUCCUGCUAGAUGUGGGGUUCCUCUUGGUCUGUUGGUUUUCCGGAAGCCUACCCAAGGUGAGAAGCCUACCCAAGGUGAGAAGCCUACCCAGGGUGAGAAGCCUACCCAAGGUGAGAAGCCUACCCAAGGUGAGAAGCCUACCCAAGGUGAGAAGCCUACCCAAGGUGAGAAGCCUACCCAAGGUGAGAAGCCUACCCAAGGUGAGAAGCCUACCCAAGGUGAGAAGCCUACCCAAGGUGAGAAGCCUACCCAAGGUGAGGAAAAGAACAGGUGGGUUUUUAUUUCGAUAGACUAUGCAGUCUUGAGUGCUGAACGCUGAUGGUUUGUGUUUUUCAGGGGUUGGGGUCAGAGACGGUGGGACGGGAGCGUCCCAAAUCAAGUCCAAUUCACAGGACGGAGAUCUCGCUUUAAGAACAUGAAGGGCAAGUCUGCAAAGAAGGGUAAAGACUGGAUCCUGGAGGGGAGGAGAAGACAGGGCAGGGAGGAGUGAUGAAUAUGUGUGUGCGUUAAAGAACCAAAUGCUGCCCGCGGCCAGUGACGGACUUCUACGUCACAGAAGACAGGGCAGGGAGGUCCGAGCUGACAGAACGUACACUGCCCGUCAGAGAAGGCCUCACUCCUGAACCCCAGUCAGUCCUGUAUGUUCCGGCCUGGAGGUUCACCCUUAUGGAAUACUACUGUCCUGUGGACAGAAUCUGGACACAGACGGGCCCCUCUCGAGGACAUGGUCCCAAUCCUCUGGACAGAAACUGGCCCCUCUCUAGGACAUGGUCCCAAUCCUCUGGACAGAAACUGGCCCCUCUCUAGGACAUGGUCCCAAUCCUCUGGACAGAAACUGGCCCCUCUCUAGGACAUGGUCCCAAUCCUCUGGACAGAAACUGGCCCCUCUCUAGGACAUGGUCCCGAUCCUCUGGACAGAAACUGGCCCCUCUCUAGGACAUGGUCCCAAUCCUCUGGACAGAAACGGGCCCCUCUCUAGGACAUGGUCCCAAUCCUCUGGACAGAAACUGGCCCCUCUCUAGGACAUGGUCCCAAUCCUCUGGACAGAAACUGGCCCCUCUCUAGGACAUGGUCCCAAUCCUCUGGACAGAAACUGGCCCCUCUCUAGGACAUGGUCCCAAUCCUCUGGACAGAAACAGGCCCCUCUCUAGGACAUGGUCCCAAUCCUCUGGACAGAAACGGGCCCCUCUCGAGGACAUGGUCCCAAUCCUCUGGACAGAAACUGGCCCCUCUCUAGGACAUGGUCCCAAUCCUCUGGACAGAAACUGGCCCCUCUCUAGGACAUGGUCCCAAUCCUCUGGACAGAAACUGGCCCCUCUCUAGGACAUGGUCCCAAUCCUCUGUCCCUCUCUAGGACAUGAUAGACAUCAACAACAAAUGGACAGCAAAGAAAAUAAAUUCCCCUCUCUGAUCUUUGACCCAUUCUUCUGGACUAGAUAAUUUCCCCUCGAGCUGCUUAUUCUAUUUUAAAUGUUUGAUGUGGACCUUCUGUUUGAAAGCUUGAAUUAAACAUGUUCUGUAACAUGUCUUCAACUGCACAGUUGGUAAAGGCCUUGAGAGGAAGCCAUUUCACUGUGAGGUCUACUACACCUGUUGUAUUCAGCAUUUCACUGUGAGGUCUACUACACCUGUUGUAUUCAGCAUUUCACUGUGAGGUCUACUACACCUGUUGUAUUCAGCAUUUCACUGUGAGGUCUACUACACCCUGUU